rnacentral:lncRNA from 1 species
UCGAAAUCGAUAUUUAUGUAAAAAUACAGUAUCAAGCAGAAUCGAAGCCAGUAUUUUAUUACAGUUACAGAAUCACCGAGACAUAGAUAAUACAUCAUUAAUCCUUCUCUACAUUUUUUUUCUUUCUUUUUCAUUCCACCACCCAUUGCUCCCCAACCACCAACACCACUACUUUACUAUCACCACUACACUUUGUUGAGCACUACAUUCUGUCAAAACACUACAACAACUUCUCCACUUAGCCUCAACUUCAACCAACAAACCACAUUCAUUCUCUUCCAUUUUUUCAUGUAGAAUCCACUAAGGAACAAGAGGAAAUCGUUUAUUACUCUGCCAGCAAACUUCAAGAGGUAAGCUUGGUUCAAUUUCUUCACCUUUCUUCCAUAUGCAACCUGCAUUAACAGAAGGACCUAAUUCAUUUCAGUUAUCUCCCUAGUUAAAACUACUCAAGUUCGGCAAAUAGUUCAUCAAUCAAACAAAGCAACUUCACGGUGAGUUUUAUACUUUAACUCUACCAUUUUCUGCCAAAGUCUCAUUCAUUCGUUAAACAAUGGCAGCUUCAAUUCAUUUCAGUUAUUUCACACUUCACUAAACUCCAGCAACAACCAAUCAGUUGAAAACAAGUGAGGUAAUUCACUAUCUCAAAUAACCAUUCCAGAAAACAUUCAUAUCAAGCAUGAUUAUGGUUAGUUUCACAAUGCCAGAAGACCGUAUAAUCAUCUUGAACUUAGCAAGCACCAACAACAUUCUAAUAUUCAAGUGACAGUUCCUAUGUAGUUCUAAUCAAGCAUAAUUUGAGUUAUGCAAAACAAGAAGAUUUCACCUUGUCUAGUUCACGUUUUCGAAUCGAUAAAAAGGAAGAAUGACUAGAGAACUUAGCUUAAGGAAUAGGGCCGACUGCCCUGCUCUGAAUCGGAAGACGGCGCGACGACGGAGCUUCCAUUGACGUCUGAAUCGGGACUAUCGGAGCUCUGCGACUCACGGCGACGGCGGCUCCGGGAAAGGAGGCUGCCGGGCCCUUGCUGUUAACAGCAGCGGCUGGCGGCGGCGCUCCAGGCGGCGGCGUUACCUCAGCAGCGGCGACGUCCGACGAUAAAACUCCAGACCGCGACCCGGCGAAAUAGCAGCGGCGAAUCACGUCGGACUUCCAGUUGCAACGACGGCCUCGACGGAAAUUGGGCACAGCGGCGGUUCGCGGUGCCUUCACCCAGCACCGACAGCGACGGAAGGAGCCGACCUCGUCGGACCUCAGAAUGGCGGAAAUAGCGUCAUGCUCGCCGGAAAAUGCAGCGGCGGCGGCAGCUCCAAAAAGGGAAAUUUGGGAUUUCUUUUUGAAUUCUCCAGUAAAUUUGAGAGGAAGGAAUUGAAGAGAGGAGGAGGUGUCGGACCUUGGCGAGGUAGAAGCUGACUCGCCGGAUUGUGGAGCGGCGACGGCGGGCGCCUCGGCUGGAGAUGGAUCGAGAGAGAGAGAGAGAACCGAAGGGAGAGAGAGCUCGACUGUUUGGAAUA